UGGUACAGUGGUUGAACACUUGGCUGCUUACCAAAAGGUUGGUGGUUCAAACCCACC
rnacentral:tRNA from 1 species